rnacentral:rRNA from 1 species
AACGAACGCUGGCGGCAUGCCUAACACAUGCAAGUCGAACGAGACCUUCGGGUCUAGUGGCGCACGGGUGCGUAACGCGUGGGAAUCUGCCCUUCGGUUGGGAAUAACUGAGAGAAAUUUCAGCUAAUACCUUAUAAUGUCUUCGGACCAAAGAUUUAUCGCCGAGGGAUGAGCCCGCGUAGGAUUAGGUAGUUGGUGGGGUAAUGGCCUACCAAGCCGACGAUCCUUAGCUGGUCUGGGAGGAUGAUCAGCCACGCUGGGACUGAGACACGGCCCAGACUCCUACGGGAGGCAGCAGUGGGGAAUAUUGGACAAUGGGCGAAAGCCUGAUCCAGCAAUGCCGCGUGAGUGAUGAAGGCCUUAGGGUUGUAAAGCUCUUUUACCCGGGAUGAUAAUGACAGUACCGGGAGAAUAAGCUCCGGCUAACUCCGUGCCAGCAGCCGCCGUAA